rnacentral:lncRNA from 1 species
CCCUCCACCUCACUCUAUCUUAACCAGCACAUAGGACUUCGAUUUACCCGAUCCUAUCCCCGUGUAUCCCGAUCAUCACUUUCCAGGUAACGUCUUCCUCUCCUAACUCUUCCCAUGAGUCUGUAGAUGAGGGUAGGGGGUACGAUGACGAAGGUGCGGCAUCCCCCGCUUCGUCUUCGUCCCGUUCGGCCCCCUCUAGUUCGUCCUCCUCGUCCGGCAUAGAGUUUCAUUAUGACAACUCGCGAGCCUGGACCUCCAUUGUUGCCCCUCCUAUCGUCCAAGGAUACGACUGGGCACCUCAUGAAGUUAAAAAUUAUAUUCCUUGUUU